GGUGAAGGUGAUGGGCUUCGGGUCACCCUGCGGGCCUAUCAUGGACCACAUCGGUGGCAAGGAGCAGCUCGACACGGAGAGCCUCUUGGGCCGCUGGACUGCUGAGCUCGGGCUCGGGGUGGUGCU
rnacentral:SRP_RNA from 1 species